GAUGAACGCUCGCGGGAGGCCUAACACAUGCAAGCCGAGCGGUAGAGUUCCUUCGGGUACUUGAGGGCGGCGUACGGGUGCGUAACACGUGUGCAACCUACCUUUAUCUGGGGGAUAGCCUUUCGAAAGGAAGAUUAAUACCCCAUAAUAUAAUGAUUGGCAUCAAUUAUUAUUGAAAACUCCGGUGGAUAGAGAUGGGCACGCGCAAGAUUAGAUAGUUGGUGAGGUAACGGCUCACCAAGUCAAUGAUCUUUAGGGGUCCUGAGAGGGAGAUCCCCCACACUGGUACUGAGACACGGACCAGACUCCUACGGGAGGCAGCAGUGAGGAAUAUUGGACAAUGGGUGAAAGCCUGAUCCAGCCAUCCCGCGUGAAGGAUGACGGUCCUAUGGAUUGUAAACUUCUUUUGUACAGGGAUAAACCUACUCUCGUGAGGGUAGCUGAAGGUACUGUACGAAUAAGCACCGGCUAACUCCGUG
rnacentral:rRNA from 1 species